GGCGGCUUUCUGAUCAGAGUUCAGAUAAAGAGGGUCACAGUAAUUUGUGGGCGCUGACUAAAAUAACCCAAUGGAUUUGAGAGUUACCGCAAAAGAAGCAAACAGACAAACUAAAGAGGGACUUCAACCAUGAACUUGGUGAUGAGCCAGAGAAGGUAACUUUUCAUCCCCUGCAAGACCUCAAAAUGAAAGGGGCAAUUAUACCCUUGUUGAUUCUUAAUUGUCCCAAUUAACGAAGUCAGUUUCUGGAGUCUGAGCUGAAAAUGAAGCUUACAAUGCACCCUCAAUACACAACAUUCGCCCAGAGGCCUUUAUUCUUCUUAUAGCGGUUCUGCUGUGAAUUCGUAGGAAAUGGGCUCCAGCAGCUUUGGCUACUUUCCACUGGGUCUCACAAAGUGGCUUCUCGAAGCAGGCUGGGGCUUCCCUUGAACCCAGAUUCCCACUUAUGUACCCAAAGGAGCAACUCCAUGUUUUCCAAAAGGCCUGAAGAACAUAUAGCAGGAACUGAUUCAGAAUCCCCCAUCACAUUUUGUUAUUACUUUUGCUUGGUCUCCUGCUGUCUGCAACAGUUUUUCAGUCUUCCUUCAUUUUCAAGAGUGUGAAAGGAUCCCAAGACCAAAAGUCUGGGAACUGCUGGUUUAGAAUCACAAUAUUGACUGCUCAGAAUGACUUUUUAGAGAAGAAAGCCUUAAAAACCCUUGAGUGAAUGAUUGGUAUUUACAGACAAGCAAAUGUAUGGAAGAGAAACAAGAGACCCAUCCUGAAUCCGCUGAAUGAACAAAAGGGGAAAUGUCCUGAGGAGUCAGAUGGAAGAAGGUUUUCUGGGAAGAGCAGAACAGAGGAGUUGGGGUUCAGACCUCCUGGAUCACAAGCAGACGGAAAAGAGCAGUGAGACUUUAAAGUGAUUGAGACAAAAAUGGAAGUAAAACAGCUUAAGGCUUUCUGAGAUUGAGUUCCUGGCAGUGUCAUUAGCAGAUAGUUUCUUCUGAAGUUCAGGGGAAGAGAAGAUGCUUGAAGGACUUUCCAGGGACUGAGUGGGUGGUACAGAGCUAGUGCUGUAGAUGCCAUGUAUACAGGCAAAUUCCCCAAUGAGUGUUUUCCAAUAUCAAGUUUAACUGGCAUUUAAGAUAUAUGCAAAAGGUAGGUGAAUUAUUUUGGCCUGUGCUUAUAGGUUUAUUUCCCUGGAUGAAGCUAUCUGUCUCUGUCCUAGUGCACUGUAGCAGAUGCAGGCUCUUUCCAUACAAUACAUUAAAAGCUGCAUCUCAUUUUAAAUAUAGAAACCCUGAUCAUACAAUACAUACAAGAUUUUUAAGAUCAGCCUUCAGUCUAUUUUUUUUGCUUUAUUUUUCUUCUGGAGGUCAAAAUGAAUGGUUAACUGUCUAAGUUGACUGCAGAGAAAGUUACUACUCAUUCUAAACGUAGGUUUUUAGAAAAGUGUUCUUGGCAGUUGCUUCCAUUGGCUUUUUCAAACUUACAUGGGAAUCAAGAUUCAGAACUGGUACACCAAUGGGAAGAGCCUGGAAAAUAGACUAUUGAUCAAGAUGAAUCUGGUCCAGAUACUUUAGGACCUUUUCAGUGUAUUUGAAAGAUUAUAAGUUUGAACUAACAGAAACUUCAACGCUGUUUUUUCACUAGCCAAUGUGUAGUGUACUUUGUUAUUCUUUUUUUUCCUGUAAUAUCUUAAUAGUAUUCCUGGCUGUAAGAAAAAGUUAACACUAUACCUAUGUUUUGUCUUACUUUAUAGACGACCCAAACAAUAUUUAACAAAAGGAUUUUUCUCAAAUACUAUUUUGAAAUCACUAUAUUAGACACUAUCUUAAAUUUAUUUCUCAAUAUGCUUCUUUUUGAAACUUCCACAUUUUGGUGUUCUUUUCAGCAUCACUCAUUUUCUCUCAUAAUAAAGAUACCCAAUAACAAUAUCAUAAUAAAGAUUUGAUAACAAAUCUCCAGUUUUGAAGUGUUUCAUUUCACAUCUACGUGCUCACAGAGAAUUUAGUAUGAAUAUUCCCUGGCCUUAGUUCCUCUAAGCCUAGGAUACUUGCAGUCAUUUGGCAAAUAAUUUAAUCCAUGGCAAACAUGAGUUUUAAUGCAAAAAUUAUUGAGUAGGCAAAAAAUAAUUGAAGAAAUUUUGGACUGAUUACCAGUGCAUUAAAAAAGUAGAGGUUUAAGGAUGGGAAUAAUAAGUUUUUUUGUUUUUAAUUUAUAUAAAAGGAGUGAAAAUACAGUAGCUUAUAGUACUUACUAGUGUGGGUAUAUUUUCAGUACUUAAUAAUUACUAGUUGAAUCGCAUAAUAUGGGACUAUAUCUGAUAUGGUUUGGCUCUGUGUCCCCUCCCAAAUCUCAUGUUGAAUUAUAAUUUCCAAUAUUGGAGGAGGUACCUAGUGGGAGGUGACUGGAUCAUUGGGGGAAAUAUUUCCCCCUUGCUGUCCUCAUGAUAGUGAGUGAGUUCUCACAAGAUCUGAUGGUUUAAAAGUGUGUGGCAUUUCCCCCUUUACUCUUUCUCUCUCCUGCUGGCCAUGAGAAUAAGUGCUUCCUUCCCCUUCACCUUCUGCCAUGCUCGUGUUUCCUGAGGCCUCCUAGCCAUGGGCUUCUUGUUCAAGCUGCAGAACUGUGAGUCAAUUAAACCUCAUUUCUUCAUAAAUUACCCAGUCUCAGAUAGCUCUUUAUAGGAGUGUGAGAAUGGACUAUUAAAAUAUCUCUAGAAUUAUGUUUUUGGAUGUAAUUUAAAGAUAAACAAAUAUUGGAAACCUCAUUUGAUCACAUAGAGAACAGUAAAUGGAAGUUCUACUUUUUCUCCAGGGCCUUUCUUAUGCUUAUGCAGGGAUUAUUCACCCAGAUAUCCUGAAAUAAGACAUCCAGUUAAGGUACCUGCUAUCUCAUGUAACUGACAGAAGAAAGUUGAGCAUAGAGGUUAAACAUUACCUAAUAUUGUUGGAAAAGCUUCAAAGCAUUCAUUUUCAAAGCAGCUAAUGUAAACCAUAAUAAUCACUAGUAGCACUGUGCCAUUUUAAAUACUUCAAUAUUUUGUAGUUAUUAGAUUCUAAGUAAGUAUAAAAUGUAGUGAAUAAAAAUUUUAUUUGCCUAAACAGUGUUAGACAAUAUAAAUGAACGAGUUAUUUUUUAUUCUGCUUAACAUUUUCAAGCCAAUAAACACUUUACUAAAGUA